GCAACAGCAAGUUGGGUUGAGUCCCUUGUUAAUCUUGUUGAAUUAGAAUUAUAUGGAUGCACUGAAUGUCUGUAUCUCCCACCUUUGCAUGUAUUACCUUGUUUGCAGACACUUACUCUUAAAUGGCUGUAUUCCCUAGAGUAUAUUGAUGUUGAUCAAAAUGCUACUACUACUAGUAGUAGUUCAAGUUGUAACAUGUCGUUCUUUCCUUCCCUGAAGAAUCUUGAGAUUCGGGAGUGUCCAAAACUAACUUCCAUGCCAUUAUUUCCAUAUCUUGAAUGGUUAUCCCCAGAACAGACCAGCUCUAAGCCAUUACUACAGAUGAUGACGAUGACGAUGGCACAAAAGGAAGCUAGUUCUAGUUCUAGUUCUAGUGCAUCUUCAUCAUCAUCAUUCCAACCUCUCUCCAAAUUGGUGGAUAUGCAGAUUCAAUCCAUUGACGACGUACAAUCUCUGCUACAACAAGCUGCUGUUAUGGGCAACCUCUCAUCUCUUCAAACUCUUGAUAUUCGGAAGUGCCGCAGUUUGACAUCAUUGCCAGAAGCCAUGGGCAACCUCUCAUCUCUUCGAUCUCUUAAGACUUGGGAGUGCCCCAAUUUGACAUCGUUGCCAGCAGCUUUGGGCAACCUCUCAUCUCUUAGAUCUCUUAAUAGCCAGAAGUGCGCCAAUUUGACAUCGUUGCCAGAAGCUAUGGGCAACCUCUCAUCUCUUGGAUAUAUUGAGAAUCGAAAUUGUCCCAACUUGACAUCGUUGCCAGAAGCUGUGGGCAACCUCUCAUCUCUUGUAUAUCUUGAGAUUUGAGAGUGCCCCAAUUUGACAUCGUUGCCAGAAGCUAUGGGCAACCUCUUAUCUCUUAGAUAUCUUGAGAUUAGAAAGUGCACCAAUUUGACAUCGUUGCCACAAGCUAUGGGCAAACUCUCAUCUUAUAUUGAGAUUCGGGAGUGCCCCAAUUUGAUAUACAUCGGGUGACGACUGGCCCAAGAUUGCCCACAUUCCAAAUUUAGUCAUCCACUGAAAGCUCUGCUAUUUGGUAUUUUCUACAGCCACAUUCACUAUCUAUACAGCUUCUUUUUUCACUCCUGGUGCAAACUAGAAUGGAAUUACGUUAAAUGUAAAUCCCACUAGUUUACAGAUUGUGUUGCUUGUACAGAAUCAAUUAUCAAUCCAUCCCAAAUAGCACUCAUGGAAUAAGCAAUGGUUAGGUCUGCAACACUCCAAAGAGAUUGGAUUACCUGGAAACUUGAAAUGUGAAGCCAUAUCUGCAAUGAAAGCCUUGCUUGUUGUUGAUGCAGAGUAGUGGAGAAGCAGACACAAAAACAUCAAGUUAGCAAUUGGCUUGAGAAGCUUCAGGGUGUCUUAUAUGAUGAAUACAACGUCAAAGCAGUUUGGAGCUGGACUAGCUGCUGAUAACGGUGCUGUUGGGUUUACCUUUAGCUUGAUGAUUGUGGUAAGCCUGCAAGCAUUCUGACUUCUACCUCUGGUGGUAAGUUCUUGAAUUACGUAAAUGAAUAAAAGAUAGGAGGUGACGUACCUGAAGUUUUGGCAUCUCAUCAGGCACUUAAACCAAUCUAAUCUGCUGGUAUCAAGCUUUGACGGAAAGUUUUACAUGCUUGCAGAAGGACAGAUUUUAAGCAUUUACUAAGAUGUGUUACUUCCUCGACUCUUGGCUGGUCUAGAGAAAUAUCAAACAGCAGGCCUAUCUUUCCUUAUUCUUUUCAUAUCAAGUUAAGAAAAUCAUUUCCUUUUGCUUUCAAUAUUCCAAAAUUUAUUGUUUUCAAAAAGUACAUAUAUACUUUUUACUUUUCUUUUUUUUUUUUUUUUUCCUUUGGUAUUUUAAAAUCUUUGAGCUUUUGUUGUUGGAUUGACAACUUGAAGAUUGAAAUAUACCUUAUCACAAGAUCCCUUCCUGGAAUUUUAAUUGUGUUCUCUCUUUUAUACAAAAAUGUCUUUUUUUACAGGUAAUUUAUAUACAUAAAUCUUUUUUGGAAACUAAAUCAAUGUCUAUAUCUUACACUUACUUUGAUCUCCAUUUUUACAGGUUUUACUCAUUUACUUUUCUAUUCUUUUUUGGAUUCCAUUAUAUCAUCAUUAAGUUGUCGAUCUCCAUUCCUGUAUUGGCUUCAAAGUUUAAAGGUAGUGCAUACUCCCAAUGUGAUCAUAAAUUUGUUAGUGCUUUGCAGCAUGUUGGCUUCACUGUUUCCGUUACUAAAGUACAUGUUGUCUCUCUGUGUGUUUGUGGAUUCCCUUAUAUUUCUCUGUUUAUGCAAGUAAAAGUGCUGCGAAUUCUUUCUUUAAGUACUGGCAGACUUGAACUUGACUGAAGUUAACUUGAAGUACACUCAUCUAACAACGUCUUUCAACCAAAAGGGGAAUAACAGAACCUUAACCGAAGCCAUGCAUUUUGAAGCUGAGUCAGCAAGAUUGUUUUUUAACAGUUAGAGGCUUAUAAAAGUGGGCUUAACAGCAUAAAAAGAUACACUGCAACAGAAGCUUUCAGUCUCAAUCAGUGUCACCAUUGUUCUUUUUUCCCUCGUAACCUCUUCUUCUUUGUUUUCCUUUCUCUUGGUAUUGUUUAGCAACAUUUCAAGUGAGUGUUUUGUGAAAGAGAGAGGGUGGGGGAUUUUGGGCUGGUUUAAGGGUAUAGAGAAAUCUGUACCAAGAGAAAGAAUGCUGUAUCAAGCCUUGUCUAUGAUGCUAAGAAUUUCUUGGAUUGAGUUCACCAAAGAUGCAGACUCAGGUUCUAAAGCUCAAUCCAGCUCAUCGUCUGAAAAACGCUGCAGCUUUAGCUCUGCUCACUCCAUCAGCUUCAGCAGGAAUAUGUUUUCUUCCUUAUCUUCAUAUCAAAUUGACAACUUGGAGAAGGAAAUAUACCUGAUCACAAGCAAAUGUACCCGGAAUUGUGUUUGUGUUUUCUCUUUUAUGCAAAGAUGUCUUGUUUCUACAGGUUUCACUGAGUUAAUUGUCUACUCUUUCUUGGAUUCCAUUUUAUUGUCAUUCAGUGGCCAAUCUCAAUUUGUUGAUUGGCUUUGCAUUUUGAAGGUUUUCUAUGUGGGAGUUACAGUCAUUAUUACAUGUUGAUUUGUUGAUGAAGUCUCAGGCUCAAAGCUCAAACCAGCUCAUCAUCUGCAAAGCCCUGCAGCUCAGCUCACUCCAUCAGUUUCAAACUCAGUAGCUUCCAUCUAAUCAAACUUGACAACUUUAGUCUUCUGACAUACUAGCUAGCUUCCAGUUGGCAGUUCUUAAUUUAGAAAAUGUUACAUAUUCAUUGUAGUCUAGACAGAUAUAGUACUUGUCUCUACAAAUAUCAAACUCAAACUCAAUACUCAAUGAAUUGACGACUGAGUUUUUUUUCUUGGCCAAAAUUUCUAUGACUCUGUGUGUGUCUGUUUUAUUAAAUUGAAACUUUCACAUACUUCGUGUGAGUUAAAACAUUUGAGAUACCUAAUUAAGGUUGAUGGUUCAUGAAUGAGCUCAAUGGAACUGGCAACCAGGCAAGCAUUCUGAUUACUGCUGCCUCCGGCAGAGUGGAUCAGAUCGUUAUACAGUUCAACUGGCAAAGCUUGGGACUGUAUAUCUAUAACUGCUUCUUUAAUCAAAUAAUAAGAUUAUUCAAUAACUACAGUGACAUUCUAAAUAAAUAUCCCACGAGGGAGAAUCAUCAAUCUUCUUUCGUGUUUGACUGCAUCUUUCUGUACAUACGCUUAGAAUUGCCAUUUCAUGUAAGGUUUUGAACCAUGACCAAACAGAAUCAAUAACUAGAAAAGAUGGAAAACAACAAAUAACAAGAAAGAGAGAGAGAAUAGAGAGAAAUUUUAGAUGUUUAAUAACUUCAAAUAUUGGCUAACAGAACAUGUCCUCUUUCUCUGUGAAUCCUUUCACUUGAAAAAUUUAUAUACUGGUUAGUAGGGACAAAGAAAACUGUUGUAAAUAUUAACUUGAGUUGCAAGUGAACAUGAGUUUUCAUCAAAGCUCGUAGCUUCUUAAUGCAAUAUAUAUAAGUAGAUGUAUAUAUCCAUCACAAACUGGUUGUUGAACAAAGAUCCAACAUUUUGGUCAUUGGUUUUGGCUGUAAAUAAGGGGCAAUAGCAUAUGAUUUCUGGUGCCAUAAAGAUAAUUAUGGGAAACUGGAAAGACCGCUUAUGUGUGUCAUUUGAAAAUCUCAUCUAAACUUGUAAAAUGUGGCUGAAGAUAUUCAUUGGUUGAACUGAAAACAAUGUGGCAGGAGUAGGUUAUCAAGGUUGGACUGAGCUGGUGAUAGAGCUAUAGAUAUGCUACUCCAGAAACUUGAUUUAUUUGAUAUCUUGAUAUAACACCAUUGUCUUCUUGUAUAUUCUCUUGUUGU